CUUUUCCUCUCUCACGCGAGAGUGGCCGGCCGUGAGCAGCACCUCUCCUCCUGAUUCCCCUCUCCUCCACCACCAUCUCGUCCACUCUGCACCAGAGAAGCACCAAUGUCCAGUCUCCUCUGCGCAGCGUAACCGACGGCGGAUGUGGCUGCGCCGGAUGCGGCUCCGUCGGAGGAUGCGGCAGCGGUGGAGAAUGCGGCGGCGUGGGCGGAUGCGACGGUGUUGGCGGCUCCGCCGGAGGAUGCAGCAUCGUCGGAGGACGCGGCGGCGGGGCUGGAUGCGGCAGCGUCGACGGUUGCGCCCAUCGAUGCAGCACCGGCGGUGGUUGCGGCGGCGGCAGCUGCAGCGGCGACGCAUCGGCUGCAGGCUCGAAGAAGAACUAUACAAUUCUUUGGCAUGCUAAUGAUCACCACUAACUUGCAGAUAAUGAUCCCUGUCCGUAGUCCAAGAUCAUGGUGAAAUGCAGAAAACCAGCAUAUUGGAUCCCAUGUCCGCCAUGGCAUCUGAGGAUGAAACACUUGAGGCACAUCGCCCCACAAUCAAGAGGCUGCAUGCUGCCCUCGCCAACUGCUUAGAGCUUUUUUUCUUUCGACGGAUGGCAGAAAUGGAGUAUCUCUGUGGUUAAAAGUGAAAAUUUGACAGCCACCCCGUAAUCCUUUUUUUUCGUGGACAUAAACUUGCUACCGCGCUAUACUUUUCUUGAUCUAUAUUGCAUCCUAUUCACCAGUUUAUUACAUUUUAAAAAAAAUGCAGAGAGCAAUCUGGGCUGUACACAUUGUUCAACAUCAUCAACUUUGACGGAAAGAAGUUUACUGAUGAACCCACUUCGGAGGCUAUCAACCAGUUCACAGCAAACAUGUUAUAUGAAAUGAUGUCCAUCGAGGAGAACAAAGGGAAGGUACCAUCGAUCUUCGUCCACACUAUUGAGGACUAGACAUCGCAAGCCAUUAUCAACCAGCAUACUGAGAUGAUCCAUACUGUGCUGGUUAUGGGUGGAGUUGCUUUGUUUUGUUAAGAUUAUCAUUGCAAAUCAUGUAGACAUUGUUUGAAAUCAUGUACACGACUGGUUCCAGAUUUUUUUCA